rnacentral:rRNA from 1 species
GGGGGGGGGGGGGGGGGUGGGGGGGGGGGGGGGGGGGGGGGGGGAGGGCGGGCUUGGGGGGGGUGGGCGGGUUGCGGACGUGUGAGUACCACGGGCGUAGCCUUCGCGUGACUCUGUGAUCACUUCCGCCGACUUGGGCUGAUGCCGGGUGGGGUGCCCUUCUUACUGGUUUGGGUGGGUAAGUUUCGGCGGUUGGGGAUGUACUCGCUUCUUAUCCGCUUGUUGGUUGUGUAGUGGCGUACCCAUGCUUUGACGGGUAGCCGGCCUGAGAGGGUGACCGGCCACAUUGGGACUGAGAUACGGCCCAGACUCCUACGGGAGGCAGCAGUGGGGAAUAUUGCACAAUGGGCGGAAGCCUGAUGCAGCAACGCCGCGUGCGGGAUGACGGCCUUCGGGUUGUAAACCGCUUUCGCCUGUGACGAAGCGUGAGUGACGGUAAUGGGUAAAGAAGCACCGGCUAACUACGUG